rnacentral:rRNA from 1 species
UGAGGAAUAUUGGUCAAUGGGAGGAAUCCUGAACCAGCCAUGCCGCGUGCAGGACGACGGCUCUACGAGUUGUAAACUGCUUUUGUACCGGGGUAAAAUGCUCUACGAGUAGGGUUUUUCGAAAGUACGGUACGAAUAAGGAUCGGCUAACUCCGUGCCAGCAGCCGCGGUAAUACGGAGGAUCCGAGCGUUAUCCGGAUUCAUUGGGUUUAAAGGGUGCGUAGGUUGUUUUGAUAAGUUAGCGGUGAAAUACCGAUGCUCAACAUCGGGGCUGCCGCUAAUACUGUAGGACUAGAGAUCGGAUGCAGCAGGCGGAAUGUGUAGUGUAGCGGUGAAAUGCAUAGAUAUUACACAGAACACCGAUUGCGAAGGCAGCUUGCUAGGCCGGAUCUGACACUGAUGCACGAAAGCGUGGGGAUCGAACAGGAUUAGAUACCC